ACGGGGGGAGCAAGCGUUGUUCGGAUUUACUGGGCGUAAAGGGCGCGUAGGUGGCCACCGCAAGUCGACUGUGAAAUCUCUGAGCUUAACUCAGAACGGCCAAGUGAUACUGCAGUGCUAGAGUGCAGAAGGGGCAAUCGGAAUUCUUGGUGUAGCGGUGAAAUGCGUAGAUAUCAAGAGGAACACCUGAGGUGAAGACGGGUUGCUGGGCUGACACUGACGCUGAGGCGCGAAAGCCAGGGGAGCAAACGGUA
rnacentral:rRNA from 1 species